rnacentral:rRNA from 1 species
CAACUUUCAGCAAUGGAUCUCUUGGCUCUCGCAUCGAUGAAGAGCGCAGCGAAAUGCGAUAAGUAAUGUGAAUUGCAGAAUUCAGUGAAUCAUCGAAUCUUUGAACGCAUCUUGCGCUCCUUGGUAUUCCGAGGAGCAUGCCUGUUUGAGUGUCAUUA